CACAUUGUUUGACUUCUUGUAUUUAGGUUGGUGAUCCAUUUCAAGUAUUUUUGUUUGUUUGUUUGUUUGAUAGGGUGUGAGGUAGGAUGCAGGUGUAUGUGUACAGAUUUAUCCACUAGAUCAUGUUUUCCCUCUGCUUAGGUAGGCAAUCUGUCUUUUGGUUUGUUUGUCUUUCCUUGCAGCAGCACCAUACUAUCUUAAUUUGUAUUGCUUUGUAGUAUUUUUGGAAAUCUAAUAAUAAAUUCUCAUUUUAGAAUUCAUUAAUUUUUAUAAAAAUAUUCAGGGUCCAUUUUAUAGAAUAACCUAAGGAAAAUUGACAUCUUUACAGAAUUGCAUCUUUCAAUUGAUGAACAUGAUGCAACAAUCCAUUUACCUUGGUUGUCUUUAACUUUUCUGAAGGCGUUUUGUAGUUUAAUUGUAGAGGUCUUGAAUGCCUUUGUUUAAUUUAUUUCUAGAUAUGUGGUGUGUUUUGCUUUGUAAAUGUUUUUAUUUUUAAUUUUUGGAUUAGUACAUACCUUUGCAAUAUCUUUUCCUUACAUCAGCUUUAAAGCUAGUGACAUAAAUUUAACUCACUCAAGUAAUUCUCACCAGGUUUCUAAACCUUUUAUUUAUUUUUCUUGUCUUAUUUAAUGAAAAGAGGUCAUGAAAUUGAACAUCUUUUCCUUGUUCCUGUAUGAAAGAGUAUUCAACAUCUCACCAUUAAAUAUAAUGCUACUUGUAAAUUUUCAUAGAUAACUUUUAUCAAAUUAAGGGAAUUCUGUUUUGUUCCUGGAUUGUCAAAUGUUUUUAAAAAUCACAAAUUGAUAUUGGAUUUUAUCCAGUGCCUUUUCUGUAUGUAUCAGGGCCUUUAAAAAAUCCUUAAUUCUAACAAAGUGAACUAUACAUUCUUUGAUUUUCAGUUGGUAAAACAACAUGUAUUACUGGAAUAAAUUAAACUUGUACAUAUUGGUCUAUUAGCCUUUUCAUUUUGCUAGGUUCAACAUGCUACUUUAAAAAAUCAUGUCUCUAUUUAUA
rnacentral:lncRNA from 1 species